CCUACGGGAGGCAGCAGUGGGGAAUCUUGCGCAAUGGGCGAAAGCCUGACGCAGCCAUGCCGCGUGAAUGAUGAAGGUCUUAGGAUUGUAAAAUUCUUUCACCGAGGACGAUAAUGACGGUACUCGGAGAAGAAGCCCCGGCUAACUUCGUGCCAGCAGCCGCGGUAAUACGAAGGGGGCUAGCGUUGCUCGGAAUUACUGGGCGUAAAGGGAGCGUAGGCGGAUAGUUUAGUCAGAGGUGAAAGCCCAGGGCUCAACCUUGGAAUUGCCUUUGAUACUGGCUAUCUUGAGUACGGAAGAGGUAUGUGGAACUCCGAGUGUAGAGGUGAAAUUCGUAGAUAUUCGGAAGAACACCAGUGGCGAAGGCGACAUACUGGUCCGUUACUGACGCUGAGGCUCGAAAGCGUGGGGAGCAAACAGGAUUAGAUACCCUGGUAGUCCACGCUGUAAACGAUGAGUGCUAGUUGUCGGCAUGCAUGCAUGUCGGUGACGCAGCUAACGCAUUAAGACACUCCGCCGUCGGGAGGUACGGUCGCGAAGAAUUAAACGUACGAAGAAGUUAGACGGCGUGAGACGUGCCGACGGACGACGACGAGGGAGGAGG
rnacentral:rRNA from 1 species